rnacentral:rRNA from 1 species
CAGUCGCCACGGUAAUACGUAGGUGGCAAGCGUUGUCCGGAAUUAUUGGGCGUAAAGGGCUCGCAGGCGGUUUCUUAAGUCUGAUGUGAAAGCCCCCGGCUCUACCGGGGAGGGUCAUUGGAAACUGGGAAACUUGAGUGCAGAAGAGGAGAGUGGAAUUCCACGUGUAGCGGUGAAAUGCGUAGAGAUGUGGAGGAACACCAGUGGCGAAGGCGACUCUCUGGUCUGUAACUGACGCUGAGGAGCGAAAGCGUGGGGAGCGAACAGGAUUAGAUACCCCCGUAGUCCCUGUCUCUUAUAC